rnacentral:rRNA from 1 species
AGCCUGGACACAGGUGCUGCAUGGCUGUCGUCAGCUCGUGUCGUGAGAUGUUGGGUUAAGUCCCGCAACGAGCGCAACCCUUGUCAUUAAUUGCCAUCAUUUAGUUGGGCACUUUAAUGAGACUGCCGGUGACAAACCGGAGGAAGGUGGGGAUGACGUCAAGUCCUCAUGGCCCUUAUGGGUAGGGCUUCACACGUCAUACAAUGGUCGGUACAGAGGGUUGCCAAGCCGCGAGGUGGAGCCAAUCCCAGAAAGCCGAUCGUAGUCCGGAUCGCAGUCUGCAACUCGACUGCGUGAGGUCGGAAUCGCUAGUAAUCGCGGAUCAGCAUGUCGCGGUGAAUACGUUCCCGGGUCUUGUACACACCGCCCGUCACACCAUGGGAGUGGGUUUUACCAGAAGUAGUUAGCCUAACCGUAAGGGGGGCGAUUACCACGGUAGGAUUCAUGACUGGGGU